AAGCACGCAGAUGGAGAGCGUACCCGCUAGCCCGGCCGCUCUGCAACCAUCGACACUCAGCUCAUCACGCGACUGCAUAGCACCAGAGGUCUCGUCGUCUUCACUGUUUUCGCUCUUUCCGCCGUGUUGCGCGCAGGCGGCGCGGCGCCUGUUGCAUGACCACGCGUACUUCGCAGCUGGGGCGCUGCGCGGCGCUCGUGCACAGCCGACGCCAGCAUCAUCGCUGUCGUCCCCCGCGCCGUCGCAGCCGCUUAAGCUGUGGCUGACAUGUGCCACCGCAGCAGUUGCGGGCACCUGCGGUGUGAUCGUCGGCGCGCACCUGAGCCCGUGGCUGAGCCGCCGCGCAGCUCGCUUGUACACUCAGCGCGAGGCCAAGUACCGCAAUCCGCUGCAGCUGCUGCCCUCUCCCGCAGCAGCCGCAUGGCCGGAGUCAUGGUGGUGGCGGAGGCUCUGGUGCAGCUCAGCGCAUCGAUCCGUGAGCGAGACGCGGCGGCUCGACUACGGACAUGCCGCGGAGUGGUUGGCUGCCUGCACAGGCCACCGCUGGCUCCCACAGCGCAUCUCACGGCCCACGCUGCUGAAGCUCUACUCCCCUGCGCGCCACUCACGGCAGAGCAGCGCCGAUCGCGACACGGCCAAAGAAGUUCAGUGGGGCACGCGUAUGGUAAACAAAGGCACGCGCCCUCUCGCGAAGCGCUCCGCCGCUGCCGCAGCAGCGUCCAGGGGCUCUACCGCCUCCCUUGCCGCCUCGGCACUCUUCUCCAUCGCACGCCUCACACGAGCACCCUUGCAUCAGUGGCAACCGCUGCCGCAGCACUUGGUAGACGUUUUCGUCUCCGCUACUUGCCAGAAUACCGAAAACCCGCGUUCUGCGACUCGGGUGGCUGCGUCGCCGCUUCUGUGUCUGCCGCGCCAGGGGUUUACCCUAUUAUACGACCCCGUCGCCCGCCUUUCUGUGUGGUGCGGGUACUAUCUCACCCGCGAAACGGUCGACCGUGCACGGCGACAGAACCGCUGCAUCACCUUCUUCACGGACCGCUCACUGGACAAGACAGCGCGACGGGUACCGGCAGAGCUAAAGGCACGCGGACACGAUCGCGGUCAUCUCGCCCCGCAUGCAUCCGUCGCCGCGAGCCCACAGGCGGCCAUCGAGGCGGCUCUGCUGUCGAAUGUGCUGCUGCAACACCGCCAGAUCAACCGAGGCGUGUGGCGCUGGCUGGAAGCGGCGACGAGGGCGUACGUGCGACAGCUGCCGCUUGCCGAUGUGCCGCACGCCGUGGCGAUUCAGCAGCAGCGCGUGAGAAAGGAAAGCUCGACUGGAGCUGUGGGUGCAGGGACUGCGUCCCUUUCAGAAGCCGCAAGCUCCACGCAGGCGGGUCCAAUGUCUGUACCUCCGCGCCACGGCGCUGGCUGUAAGGGAUGCCGUGGACGUCCGCCGAAGUCGGCGUCAUCACUUUUUGUUUCACCAGCUCGCUGCUGCUCUACCUGUGGUCAGGCAGCGAAGAGGAGCAGUCGCAGCGGCUUAAACCGAGGCUUACCGCGGGACAGUGAGCUCAUCGCCCGCCUGCUCGCCGCACCGGGCGUCGGAAGCGGGGCUGGCUCGCACUUGAGACUCCAAGGAGAUGGUGCUCGGGGAUGCGUGGCACGAACGCUUCGAUGCUGCCGGGAAUGGUGGCGGUGGUGGUGGCCGCACUGCAGCGGUGCAGCCUUUCAUCGCCAGCGUGAGCGCGAGGUCGCUGUCAAUGUAGGGCCGCUUUACUACAAACGGACGAAUGAUGUAGGGCUGGGCAGCUGGCGGGGCAGUAGCACGGCGACAGGGAGGACGCCCGCUGUCGCUGCAGCAUCAUCGGAUGCCGUCGCACUGCCUCUUUUGUGCUGCUACAGGUCGCGGCAGGUCAUGCAACGGCGGAGGCCUGGAAACGCAGCCUCGCCUCCGACAUGGUCCUCGCCGCCACCGCCGCCGCCGCAGCAGUCGCUCUUCAUCCCUGACGCCUUCUUCUUCUCGCUCUGGAACGUGCACACUCACGAGCAUGUGCACCUGAUCGUACCAAACCACCCCGACGCAGCUUCGAUACGAGCGGUCACUGCGGCCGUGGCGGCCAGGCGUUCGACAGCAGCGGGAGCAGCGGCGUCGAAGUCGUUCCCAUCGCGACGACGACGACGGCACCGCUCGACGCACCCGUCGAGAUGGUCGUCAGACGGUUUGGAGACGGCUCUACGAUCCCUCGUUGUGUCUACAGUAGAGCUGGAACAACUUUUCGCCGAGUCGUUGGUGGAGCUGCGCUCACGAUGCAUGUCGGCCGGAGUGACGGACGCGACCAGUCGCGACAGCAUGAGCAACAUCGAUCGCGCCGCUCCGUCGGUAGCGCUGCGGACGCACUUUAGCCUCUUCCCAGUCUAUCGACAGCGAUGGAUGUGGCGGCACUGCGGCAUUGGUGGUGGCGGUCGCUGAGGCGCACUCACCUUGUGGAGGACGGGACGUCGGGCGGUGCCGGCACCACUCGAAUUCGCCGCUGACUCGUGUUUCCCUCUCGCCUUGCGGGUACGGUGAGCUCCCUCGCGUUGGAGGCGAGCUCGAUCCCCUCGCUCAGCCGUCUCGCCCACUCAUCUCGCGGUUGCCUUGUCUUCUUUCUCGUCGUCUGCGGUGGACGUGAGGGUCGCCAGUGCUCUCUCGUUUCUUCGGUUGCUCCUGCUCGCUUUUCUUUUUUUUUUUGCAUAGAUGCAAGCGCCUAGAUGCACAGAUCCGCCAUCACACGAGCGCGCAUCACCCCACGCAUCUCUCUCACGCACAGAGCUGUGUGGAGAGCUGCGCUUGUGUGUGUUUGUGUGUGCGCGUGUGCGUUUUCUUGUCAAUAUCCCCCCAUUGUGUGACUUUGUGAUGUCCUCACGCGUGGGUGUUUUGGCCUCUGCGCUUCCUCCUCUCUCGCCGCUCUGUCGGCCGCGCAUGCGCGAGAGUGGUGGAGAGAGAGACAGAGAGCAGAUGUGUGGUUUCCCUCAUUCCUCGUGUGCAUGUGUGCGUGCCGCCCACACCCUACUCUCCCUCUAUCCCUCGCUCACCCCUCACCACAACUCUCAUCGACUCCCCUCCUUCCCCUGACACUACACCUCCCCUACGACUUCGCCGUGCUCCCUCGCCUACCCCCCUCUCUUGUUUGCUCGCCUUCUUUUCGUUGUUGUGCCUCUGCUUGGGGCUGUGGGGAGACUCCCCAUGUCCUGUCAUGCCCUGCUGCUGCUGCCGCCGCCGCCGCACUCCUUUCUGUGUGCCUCUGUGUAGGUACCCCUUCUGUCUUUCUCCCUCUCCUUUUGUGCGUGUCGCUAGACCGAAACAAAAAGCACGUGCGCUCUCGCUUGUUUCCCGCCCUUCAUCGGUGCCUCCUCUACCCCCUGUCUCUUUCCCGCCUUAGUCUCCAAGCUAUUACCCACUCACCGAGACCCAAUUCCCUCCCUCACGGAACGCCCUGUCGCUGCGCCCUUGCAGACGCAUCGGAGCCUCUGUUGCUGGUGCGGGUAAGCUGUCGCCGGAGCCAAUUGUGUCGAUGCUGUCGCCUGCAGAAAGGAA
rnacentral:misc_RNA from 1 species